UAAUUGGAUACUUUCUACAGGUACUAUAUAAACAGGUUUGUUCAGUUGGUGUACUAUCUGUGUAUUCCAACUGGACAGAACUUUGUGCUUUUAUUUAAAGGUAACCGGACAAUUUCAGAAACCCUAGUGUUAGGAUAAAGUCCUAAAACACGAACAGCAUACAAAUUACUUGUCAUCUGCAUACGUGACAUACAAGUUUCAUCCAACCUCUCUCUAAACCAAGCUGAGUAAAGUCUAACCCCAAACAACACCAAAACCAAGUACAAAAUAUUCACUCUGAGGUUGAAGUUUUAAAAAUUUUGAUAACUUUCUAAUACUACCCUGGAUUUGCACCAAACUUGGACAGAAGCUUGUUUAUGAUCAAAAGCUAGAAUCUAGAAGGAAAUUUAAGAAAAUAAUUGUACCUGUUUUUCUGUAUGAUAUUUAUAAAUGGACUUAGAUUUUCUUCAAGUUAACAUUACACACAGUCUGCAGUUUUUAAAACAUUUAUUAGAUUCAUACACUAUCCAGGAAUUUUACCAAACUUAGACAUGUUGGACAGAAGCUUCUUAAAAUUAACAGAUAGUAUUGAAAGGAAUAUUUUUAUUGAUUUUUUUCGUCAUUUUUGUUGAGUCUGUGAUAAACAGCAAAAGUAGGCGAG
rnacentral:lncRNA from 1 species